AAAAAAAAAAUGCAGAUUCCUUGAUUCUCUUUUUUCUUCUUUUCCUCAUAUAUUUUCUUGUACCUUGAGUUGCUUAUUGUAUAUUGUAUAUAGGUACAUCACCAAAACAAAGGUUUGAAAUUACGGAUCGCCGUUUUGUUUUAUUAAGCCUUUGUUAUCACUUUUGUUUCUUAUUUUCUAUGUUUCGAUUAUUAUUACUAAUGGUUAUUCAAUGGAACUUAUGAAGCGUUGGAGAUAAACGGACAAUGGAUUUUGAAGCUUCAUAUUCAAUCACAUCAUAGGGGAGUAUUACUUUCUUUAUCUUGAUUUUCCUUUUUACACAUUGAGGACAAUGUGUAUGUUAAGUGUGGGGGGAGAAUUGAGAUUAUAUAUAUUGUAUGUGAUUGAAUUAUUAGUUGCAAAUAUUGGACUUGUGUUAAAAUUCAAAAUUUUUCUAAAAUCUUGUCCAAAAUUGCAAACUUGCCCCAAAAAGUUUCAUAUUUUUUCAAUUUUAUCCAAGGGGUAACAAGUUUC
rnacentral:lncRNA from 1 species